rnacentral:rRNA from 1 species
GACGAACCGAGCAAACGUUAUUCGGAAUCACUGGGCUUAAAGGGCGCGUAGGCGGGUCAGCAAGUCAGGGGUGAAAGCCCCCAGCUCAACUGGGGAAGUGCCUUUGAUACUGUUGAUCUCGAGGGAGGUAGGGGCGUGCGGAACUUCCGGUGGAGCGGUGAAAUGCGUAGAUAUCGGAAGGAACACCGGUGGCGAAAGCGGCGCGCUGGACCUCUUCUGACGCUGAGGCGCGAAAGCCAGGGGAGCAAAC